rnacentral:rRNA from 1 species
UACGGGGGGGGCAAGCGUUGUUCGGAAUUACUGGGCGUAAAGGGCUCGUAGGUGGCCAACUAAGUCAGACGUGAAAUCCCCAGGCUCAACUUGGGAGCUGCGUCUGAUACUGGAUGGCUUGAAUUCGGGAGAGGGAUGCAGAAUUCCAGGUGUAGCGGUGAAAUGCGUAGAUAUCUGGAGGAAUACCGGUGGCGAAGGCGGCAUCCUGGACCGAGAUUGACACUGAUGAGCGAAAGCUAGGGGAGCAAACGGG